rnacentral:rRNA from 1 species
UACGUAGGAGGCAAGCGUUGUCCGGAAUUACUGGGCGUAAAGCGCGUGUAGGUGGUGGGACAAGUCUGCUGUGAAAGCGCCUGGCUUAACCGGGCGAGGUCGGCGGAAACUGUCCGACUCGAGGACGGUAGAGGGGGGUGGAAUUCCCGGUGUAGUGGUGAAAUGCGUAGAGAUCAGGAACACCUGCGGCGAAGGCGGCCCCCUGGGCCGGCCCUGACACUGAGACGCGAAGGCGUGGGGAGCGAACGGG